UCUUAUUUUAUUGUCUACUUUUUAUAAAAAAAAAAACAUUAAAUAAUAUUGUCUAUAUUUUUUAAAAGUUUGGAGCCAAUUAUAAUAUUUAUAAAUAAUUCGGCAAAUAAAUGCACCAAUAUUAAAUGCAUAUCAAAAGCUACACCGACUUUACACGUGUCGGUGCUACAACAACAACCAAUAUCAAAGGUGUGGUCGCAAAAGUGAUGUAUUGAUAUUAUGGUAAUAGACACGAAUCUCUGUUUUUUGAGUUCCCUGCAAUUGUAGUACACGAUCCAUUAGAUUUCGUGGUUCUCACCUAAGACUUCGGAAUGUUAAAUGGUUAGUUUGCGACUAGUCCAAGUCAUUUAUGGAAUGCUCUUCACACAAAAAUACUCGUAAAUAACAAACAUAUUUUUAUAUAAAUGAAUAAGAUGAUGAGCUUUUACGACAUUGCAGUAUAAGAAGAAUGCAAGUUAAUUACGAUAAUGAGCCAGAAGUACUAAAUUAUAACAAAAAAAA